CACUGUUAUUUUUUGUUACAUAUCUUUGCAACCCCAUUGAGCAUGUCAUUUAAAGCAGGAAUGCGCAGGUCGUGAGUGACCCUGUGCUGCCUUGACUUCUUGUGUCGUGUUUUUACAUCAAACGACAACAAGGGCAUUGAGCCCGGAGCUGCCUUGGACUGGCCUUCUGCGCAAGGUUUUUAAUUUUUUAAAUAAAAUUGAACCUUUAUUUAACUAGGCAAGUCCGUCAGGACGACUCUGGGCCAAUUGUGCACCGCCCUAUUGAACUCCCAAUCAUGGCCGGAUGUGAUACAGCCUGGCUUCAAACCAGGGACUGUAGUGUCACCUCUUGCACUGAGAUGCAGUGCCUUAGACCGCUGCGCCACUCGAGAGCAAAAAACAAACAUAUUUUCGUUAAAUCCUGCCUACUCGAAUGACCCUGGUGCCAUGGCCCCGAACUUGCAAGCUAGCUAACUUUACAGCCACCAGAAACAAACACAGAGCAGACAAAGUCAACAAGCUAGCUAACGUGUUUGCAGAUAAACUGCCCUUGUAGCAGGGACAAAAGAAACAAGCAUCGUUCUCAGUUCUGAAUCAACUCGAUCCCCAAAAGAUAAAAAGAAGCAAGAAAAAUAUGGCUCCUACUUAGCCGGAUAAACAUUGGAAUGAAUUUUGAAAGGUGGAGGAGUGACGCCAAAAUGGCCACCAUUCUCAUGGACUGGUAGGUAAGUGUUUGGUAGCGUUUUUGCCUGCUAGCUACUUUCGCUGCUAACCUUAGUGUGUUCAAUGUUCAUGCUAGCUAAUAUGGCUACUUAUUCUGUAUUCUGACUGUUUUGUACUCAAAGGAAUCUAACAAUAGCAUCAUGUAGCUACACUGCAUGAACCCCACAAGAUGCCAAAUGCCUUUCUUUUAACUAGCUAAUGUUAGCUGGCUAUAGCUAGAUAUGCAGAUUGUUGACAUGAUAAUGUUUGUGAGUUGGUGGUUGACAGCAUUUCCGGCACAGGACCACCACUAGCUAUUCACAGGGAGAUACUGGUGAAGAAAAUCUGAUUUAGAGGGAACCGGAGGCUGUACAAGUUGUGGUUGUGCAAACCCCAACACAGGAGGAGAGGAGAACUUGGACCUGUUGGAUGGAGGAAACAAAGUCAGCCAUAGAUGAUGACGAACAUCCUAACCCUUCAACUACAUUACAUGCGUUGCCAUGGCUUUCUCACCUUUCACCCCCUACUAGUAGGUCCAAGCCAUCCUUUGCAUUAUAUGCCAAGAGUGUGCAAAGCUGUCAUCAAGGCUACUUUGAAGAAUCUCAAAUAUAAAUCAUAUUUUGAUUUGCUUAACACUUUUUUGGUUACUACGUGAUUCCAUAUGUGUAAUUUCAUAGUUUUGAUGUAUUCACUAUUAUUCUACAAUGUAGAAAAAUGUAAAAAAAAUAAAGAAAACACUGGAAUGAG